rnacentral:rRNA from 1 species
AAAGGAAUAGACGGGGGCCCGCACAAGCGGUGGAGCAUGUGGAUUAAUUCGUCACUAACCGAAGAACCUUACCAGGGUUUGACAUCCGCUGUAAGUCCAUGAAAGUGGUACCCCCUGUAGCAAUACAGGCAGCGAGACAGGUGUUGCAUGGCUGUCGUCAGCUCGUGUCGUGAGAUGUUGGGUUAAGUCCCGCAACGAGCGCAACCCCCAUCGGAUGUUGCCAGCGUAAAGUCGGGAACUCUUCCGAAACUGCCCGUGUAAGCGGGAGGAAGGUGGGGAUGACGUCAAGUCGGCAUGGCCCUUACACCCUGGGCUUCACACAUGCUACAAUGGUCGUCAACAGAGGGAUGCGAAACGGCGACGUCGAGCUAAUCUCAAAAAUACGGCCUCAGUUGGGAUCGAAGUCUGCAACUCGACUUCGUGAACGCGGAAUCGCUAGUAACCGCAGAUCAGCUAUGCUGCGGUGAAUACGUUCCCGGGCCUUGUACACACCGCCCGU